rnacentral:lncRNA from 1 species
GCCCCUCCUGCUUACACGCUUAGUCAUAAUUACUUACCUCAGCGGCACCAGCCGUGUGGUAGGAGCUUAGCUGAACAGAGAGGAGAAUCAGCAGGCACAUCACCUUGAGUUUGACCUGUCAGCCAGAUUUCACAGCACCUGCCUGGUUAGCCCGAGGGCUGUGAUUCACCCCCUCAGGAAAGGAGCUGUGCCCACCGAAGAUAACGUUCCAAGGAGGAACUAAAAGAAGCACUUGGCUCCUGCGGAGCCCCAGCCAGGCACAGCCUUCUGCUAUAUCCCCAGACCUCAGUUCUCCAUGAACUCUCUAUGCCCAGUGCCUUGUAUGCCCAUUUCCUUGAAGGGGUCCUGGAAGACUCUGCGGACACCACAGCCCAGCUAGAUGGAUUGAUUGGGAAUUUCUGGGUAGAAGUCACCUUGGGUUCAAAUGGAUCCUGCCUGCUUGCCAGAACAAAGAGGUAUCAUCUCCCAUGUCCAACUACUACUAGGGAGAAGGCCCUGUCUGGCUGCUCAGGCCAGAGAAAUUCAGCUGAAAUAGACAACAGAGAUCCUCUCGGUCAGAAGUUACAGUUGUUCUCAGAAGUGACUGUUGUCACAUGUUAU